GGUGGCUCAGUGGUAGAGUGCUUGUCUUGCAUGCAUGAGGUCCUGGGUUCGAUUCCUCAGCACCA
rfam:Dipodomys ordii contig_27003, whole genome shotgun sequence.